AAAGCCGCAGCCAGGUGUGUUUCUAUCCGUCUCCACAUCCGACGGCUAAGGCUCAACCUCGCCUUAUAUAAACCGCCAGCCCCCCUCUUCCUCUGACCCUCUCUCUUUCUCUCUCCCAAGAUAGAGUGAGAUAAAGUAAGAGGCAGCGGCGUGGCUUCGGAGAGCCUCCGGAAGAGCGUCGUCUGCGCUUGGUUUCCCCCGAGCGGAUGGCGUGCCGGCUCUCCAAUCCCGCCUUCCAACUCGAGGCGCCGCCUGUCAGAGCAUCAUGCGGCGCGAGGUCGAAAGUUUCUCCUGGCAUGUACUGCCUGAAAUGGAGAACUUUCCAGCACCAAGGACAUAUUUCCUAUCAAUCUUUGCCCUACAAGAAAUCAACCAAAGUUGUUCAGGCUGCAGUGCUCCCCAUUUCAGCACCAUUGCUAGAAAAUGAGGAACAGAGAAAGCAGCUGUGCGAAAUGUAUGGAUUUACACAAAUUGGGGAACCACUUCCAGAUAAUAUUACUCUGAAGAAUGUCAUGGAUACCCUGCCUAAAAAGGUGUUUGAAAUUGAUGACAUGAAAGCUUGGAAGUCAGUUUUGAUAUCUGUAACUUCUUAUGCAUUGGGAAUUUUUAUGCUUUCUAAAGCUCCAUGGUAUUUGCUUCCCCUGGCUUGGGCAUGGACUGGCACAGCUGCGACAGGGUUUUUUGUCAUAGGCCAUGACUGUGCUCACAAAUCAUUUUCGAGGAAUAAAUUGGUGGAAGAUAUUGUUGGAACUCUUGCCUUUUUGCCUCUGAUUUAUCCUUAUGAACCUUGGCGGUUUAAGCACGAUAGACACCAUGCCAAGACAAACAUGUUGUCAGAAGAUACCGCUUGGCACCCUGUUUGGAGAAAGGAAAUUGACUCCUCCCCAGUUCUGAGGAAGGCAAUCAUCUUAGGUUAUGGGCCAUUUAGGCCUUGGAUGUCUAUAGCUCACUGGUUAAUGUGGCACUUCGAUUUGAAAAAGUUCAGACCAUCUGAAGUUGGAAGGGUGAAAAUAAGCUUGGCAUGCGUAUUUGCAUUUAUUGCAAUUGGAUGGCCACUGAUUGUUUAUAAGACAGGGGUCCUAGGAUGGAUCAAGUUUUGGUUCAUGCCAUGGAUGGUGUAUCACUUUUGGAUGAGUACUUUCACAAUGGUCCAUCAUACUGCUCCUCAUAUACCUUUCAAAACUUCAGAAGAGUGGAAUGCUGCUCGAGCACAGCUUGGUGGCACAGUCCAUUGUAAUUAUCCUCGUUGGAUUGAGGUCCUAUGUCAUGAUAUCAAUGUGCACAUUCCCCAUCAUGUUUCUUCAAAAAUACCGAGCUAUAACUUGCAGGCAGCUCAUCAGUCACUCAGAGAGAAUUGGGGCAAGUAUCUCAAUGAAGCCAAUUGGAACUGGCGUCUAAUGAAGACGAUAAUGACUACAUGUCAUGUAUACAAUAAAGAGCAAUUUUAUGUGCCAUUUGAUAACAUCUCUCCCAAAGAAUCCCAGCCAAUAACAUUCCUUCGAAAAUUCAUGCCUGAUUACACAUGAUUCCAGAUGCCAUUGGAUGUACCUUUUAGCUUCUUCAAAUUUCACCAUAACCUAACGGUAAUGGAGCGUCAAAUGGACUGAGCUGCUCAAUCUUAGCUUAGGCUUGGCUUGAGAAGAGCUUGAAUCAAGCUUGAUUUGAAGGUCAACAAAGCAAGCUUGAACCAACAAAAUAGGCUUGAAACUAAUUUCAGGUGGAGCUAAAAACUGACCAGCUCAAGGAGGAUUUUGGAGAUUCGAUCGUUUCAUCUUUUGAAAUACCUCAAUGAUGAGAUCAAGAAUGAAUGAUUAGCAUGGACUCAGCAAGGAAUCUUUAUGCUUCAUGUUGGGUCAUUUUGGUUUCAGGCCAAUGGACGUGGUAUAAUUGCUCUGAAGAUUAUAUAUCCAUUUCUACCAAAUCUAAAGCAAAAGCUCAGCCACCAACCCCCUGUUCUGCGGUUGUACCUGCUCGUGUGCAGCACCACUGCCUUGGAAGAAUCUUUGUCCUAUCUAGGAUUGCAAGGAAAGCAGAGAGGAUGGUUUUUGUGGAUUUGUUUGUCCUGCUUUGAGAGUAAAAGGUAAAAGCUGUGUUAAAGGCACAAGUAAACAGAGAGCUGCUCUGAGCUGCUGUCCCAAAAAUUGCACACAGAACAGUUAUUUUUA